GUCUCUGGCCGUCCGAGUUGUAAUCUAGAGAAGUGCUGCCCGCGCUGGACCGUGUACAAGUCUCCUGGAAUGGAGCGUCAUAGAGGGUGAGAAUCCCGUCUCUGACACGGACUACCAGGGCUUUGUGGUACGCUCUCAAAGAGUCGAGUUGUUUGGGAAUGCAUCUCAAAAUGGGUGGUAAAUUCCAUCUAAAGCUAAAUAUUGGCGAGAGACCGAUAGCGAACAAGUACCGUGAGGGAAAGAUGAAAAGAACUUUGGAAAGAGAGUUAAACAGUACGUGAAAUUGCUGAAAGGGAAACGCUUGAAGUCAGUCGCGUUGGCCAGGGAUCAGCCUCGCUUUUGCGUGGUGUAUUUUCUGGGUGACGGGUCAGCAUCAAUUUUGACCGCUGGAAAAAGGUCUGGGGAAUGUGGCAGCUUCGGCUGUGUUAUAGCCCUUUGUCACAUACACCGGUUGGGAUUGAGGAACUCAGCACGCCGCAAGGCCGGGUUUCGACCACGUCGUGCUUAGGAUGCUGGCAUAAUGGCUUUAAGCGACCCGUCUUGAAACACGGACCAAGGAGUCUAACAUGCCUGCGAGUGUUUGGGUGGAAAACCCGAGCGCGUAAUGAAAGUGAAAGUUGAGAUCCCUGUCGUGGGGAGCAUCGACGCCCGGA
rnacentral:rRNA from 1 species